UCACGAAAGUGGAUUGUACUAGAAGUCUGCGCGCUAACCCGCAAGGGAGGCAGCGGCCCAAGGUAUGAUUCAUGAUUGGGUG
rnacentral:rRNA from 1 species